rnacentral:rRNA from 1 species
GACGAACGCUGGCGGCGUGCUUAACACAUGCAAGUCGAACGGAAAGGCCCUGCUUUUGUGUGGUUCUCGAGUGGCGAAGGUGUGAGUAACACGUGAGUAACCUUCCCUUUACUUGGUGAUAACUGCAGGAAACUGGUGCUAAUACCUGAUAGGAGCUCCUGCUGCAUGGUGGUGGUUGGAAAUUUUCGGCGGUUGGGGAUGGACUCGCGGCUUAUCAGCUUGUUGGUGGGGUAGUUGCUUACCAAGGCUUUGACGGGUAGCCGGCAUGAGAGGGUGAACGGCCACAUUGGGACUGAGAUAGGGCCCAGAGUGCUACGGGAGGCAGCAGUGGGGAAUAUUGCACAAUGGGCGGAAGCCUGAUGCAGCAACGCCGCGUGCGGGAAGACGGCCUUCGGGUUGUAAACCGCUUUCGCCUGUGACGAAGCGUGAGUGACGGUAAUGGGUAAAGAAGCACCGGCUAACUACGUG